GAACGGUAACAGGUCUUCGGAUGCUGACGAGUGGCGAACGGGCGAGUAAUACAUCGGAACGUGCCUAGUAGUGGGGGAUAACUACUCGAAAGAGUGGCUAAUACCGCAUGAGAUCUACGGAUGAAAGCAGGGGAUCGCAAGACCUUGUGCUACUAGAGCGGCCGAUGGCAGAUUAGGUAGUUGGUGGGAUAAAAGCUUACCAAGCCGACGAUCUGUAGCUGGUCUGAGAGGACGAUCAGCCACACUGGGACUGAGACACGGCCCAGACUCCUACGGGAGGCAGCAGUGGGGAAUUUUGGACAAUGGGCGCAAGCCUGAUCCAGCAAUGCCGCGUGCAGGAUGAAGGCCUUCGGGUUGUAAACUGCUUUUGUACGGAACGAAAAGCCCUGGGUUAAUACCCUGGGGUCAUGACGGUACCGUAAGAAUAAGCACCGGCUAACUACGUGCCAGCAGCCGCGGUAAUACGUAGGGUGCGAGCGUUAAUCGGAAUUACUGGGCGUAAAGCGUGCGCAGGCGGUUUUGUAAGACAGAGGUGAAAUCCCCGGGCUCAACCUGGGAACUGCCUUUGUGACUGCAAGGCU
rnacentral:rRNA from 1 species